AACGGAGGGUCGCAUGCGGGAACGCGUAGUCGCAGCCCCGUUCCGUUGACCUGAUCUAUCUCUCCCUCCCUAUCCCCUUCGUCCUGCCUUUUCUCCCUUUGCUUCUCCGCAAAUCUCUUCGUCGCUUUUAUUACGAUUCGCACUUCUUAUUUUUCUUCUUAGAUUAAUGAUGAUGAGAGAAUUUGCAUUGGUUUCGCGAUCGAGGAAACUUCGUUGGAGACUGUCUCGGAGCACCGAUAUAUGUCCGUCUAUCUUUCUCACCCCUUCUAGCUCGUCUCUCUCACUUCUUUCUUCGCGAGUCCUCUCCUCGCGAGUUCUCUCGUCGCGCGACCGAAGGUGACGACGCGCCAGAGAGGUCGAACGGCGUCGAGUCUCAUCUCUUGGAGUGCGCGAUUUACUCGCCGAGGAUGGAUGAAGUAGAAACUGGUACAAUUUUAACAAACUAGGACAACAAAGCGAAUGCACGACUUUCCGAAUGUCCUUCGUGGUCUUCGCGUGUGAUGUGUCACGCGGAUUCGCCGCUAAGAAGAUUGACAGGCAAAUGUGGUUUAAUAAAGGAUGUAUUUUUCAAAAGUGAAGUCUCUGAAAAUCCCUAAUGAAAGAAGAAGGUCAAAGAGCGUGCAGGCGAGUGGCUUCCCUUCCUCGGAGUCGAAGAAUCGGGUUUUUCCAGGUCGAAGGACGGGCGUUUGCAGGAGCGGAACCGGCCUCAAGAUCCGACCGGAUCCACCCACGUUAUACCGCAUAAUAACGUUAGGCUUGCAAAUCGACUGGCAGGCACAACGUAAUUCUACUGCAGACAUGAUGUAAAUGAUAUAUGUAUCGGCGUGAUAUUACUGAUAAUUAACUUACAUUUUGUAAUAUUUCAUAAUUGUUAUAAGGUCUUUGUUAUCUUUCGUGCACAAACUUGAGAAACAACGCUGAAAAAAGAUCAGCUAUCAAAAAGAUAUUUUAUUUACUUUUUUUUCAUAUCUUAAAGUGUCAAAUAUUUCGAAGAAUUAAUUUCCCUCAUUAUACAAUUAAAGUUUAUUAAAAAUGUUAAUAAGAUAAAUGUGUUAAUAAAUGUGGAUUGCGUUUAAGUCUGAAAGUCGUAAAAAUGUAGGAAACGACCCUUCUUAUUACUUUAAAAAGAUUAAAGUGCUUAAGAAU